rnacentral:rRNA from 1 species
GCCUGCCCAGUGAUAACAUUUUUAACGGCCGCGGUAUCCUAACCGUGCAAAGGUAGCGCAAUCACUUGUUCUUUAAAUAAGGACUAGUAUGAACGGCGACAUGAGGAUCAUCUUGUCUCUCACGGUAAGUCAAUGAAACUGAUCUCCCAGUCCAAAAGCUGAGAUAAACCCACAAGACGAGAAGACCCUGUGGAGCUUAAAACUGUACCUCAUAAAAACUGAGCUUGCAUUUUUCGGUUGGGGCGACCUUGGAGCAAAAAAAAACCUCCAAAAAUCUUAAAUUUAGGCCACCGCGCCGCAAGUCAAAAACCACUUGACCCAAUAUAAUUGAUCAACGAACCAAGUUACCCCAGGGAUAACAGCGCAAUCUUCUUCUAGAGUCCCUAUCGACAAGAAGGUUUACGACCUCGAUGUUGGAUCCGGAUACCCAAAUGGUGCAGCCGCUAUUAAAGGUUCGUUUGUUCAACGAUUAAUAAUCCCACGUGAUCUGAGUUCAGACCGG